rnacentral:lncRNA from 1 species
AAGGUGGGAGUGCUGUGCUUUCUCCCCAGGCCCGGCCUGUGUGGUGGCCCUGGCCGUGGCAUCUCUGCCGCUGAACUGCGCGGCUUCCGCAGACUCCAAGCGCGGUCGCUGGGCUCGGGACUCCUCGACCUGUGCUUCAAGGAGAGUCUGUGGAGCCGCAGGCGAUGUCCGAGGUGACAGCUGUCCUUCCGUGGCAGCCUCCGUGGCCCCUGCCUGCGAUCCUGGUGGACAGAACUACACGAAGGCCAUGCGGCUGUUUGUGGGAGAACCGGUGUGGACAGCGUACAACCGGCCCGCUGACCAUUUUGAAGCCCGCGGGCAGUACGUGAAAUUUCUGGCACAGACCGCCUAGCAGUGCUGCCUGGGAACUAACACGUGCCUCGUAAAGGUCCCCAAUGUAAUGACUGAGCAGAAAAUCAAUCACUUUCUCUUUGCUUUUAGAGGAUAGCCUUGAGGCUAGAUUAUCUUUCCUUUGUAAGAUUAUUUGAUCAGAAUAUUUUGUAAUGAAAGGAUCUAGAAAGCAACUUGGAAGUGUAAAGAGUCACCUUCAUUUUCUGUAACUCAAUCAAGACUGGUGGGUCCAUGGCCCUGUGUUAGUUCAUGCAUUCAGUUGAGUCCCAAAUGAAAGUUUCAUCUCCCGAAAUGCAGUUCCUU